UCAAACACACCUCAACAGGUGCAUGCUGGGUCUGUCAUGGGCUCAUGGCUAACAUGGUAAUGCUAACGAAGUUCAGUGCAGUGUGUGAGGACCGACUUUCUGCUGUUUUUGAAAAUAGCCUACUGGUUUAUACUGGGACCAGAGAGGCUGAGUGGACUGGUUAUAUUAUGCUUUGAAAAUGUACGAGCAGAGAAGUUGAAUAUAGAUAUUGCGGCGCCCAAGACUAGCAGAAUUGCAGAAUUACGUACAGCUCAAUCACCGUUUUACUCAUUCCAGAAACAUCCUCGAAGCCAGGAACACCCAGUGAAGAAGAGGGGGAUUUUAAAGCUCAUUUGUCUAGUUUCUGUCAGAAUGCAUCAUUCAACCCAGGGACCUUCCUACAAUCCCUGUCUUAUCUUCAGGCAAGAGGUGGACACAGCCAGGACGAUCAAUAUGCCACACUCUUCCAUGCUACUCCCAUCCUUUCUCUAAUGGUCUCAACAGCUUGCUCUGUUCUUUUUUCCUAAAUCUCUCUUUGCUAUUUCCCCCUUUUCUUAUCUGUAUUUUUCUAUGGGAAUCGUCAUUACUGCCAAGAGCCAGUUCGCCAUCUGCCGUGACUGAGUACGAGAUUCGCAAUUAGUGAGGAUAAUUUCCACCAAGUAUCUGAAUGGAGCAGCUCAGACCUUCACAGAUCGAUAGAGAGCGAAAGAGAAAAUAAACAGGCAUCGAUGUGGAGCCAGCCAACCAUAGUGACAGACAAAUGGGAAGGAGAUACGUUUGUCGGUGGGUUUGCAAGGCAGAGAACUGGCAAGACGAUCACAUUAAACAACCUUGACUGUGGAAAGAAACAUAGAGGCAGCUGUUUUACUCAAGUUUUCUUAAUGAAGUUAAAGGACCCUUCGUUAAUUUACCUGAUAUGUGAUGAGAGGCUCUACAAUCAUCUCUGUGUCUAAUAAAAACUGAGACAUUAAGAACUUGUAACAGCUGAGAAUGGAUUGUUAAUUAAAGGACCUGGGGUCUCAU